rnacentral:rRNA from 1 species
GGGAUUGCCUUAGUAACGGCGAGUGAAGCGGCAAUAGCUCAAAUUUGAAAGCUGGCGUCUUCGACGUCCGCGUUGUAAUUUGUAGAGGAUGCUUCGGCGAGGACUCCUGCCUAAGUCCCCUGGAACGGGGCGUCACAGAGGGUGAGAAUCCCGUAUGUGGCGGGCGGUCCGAGCCAUGUGAAGCUCCUUCGACGAGUCGAGUUGUUUGGGAAUGCAGCUCUAAAUGGGAGGUAAAUUUCUUCUAAAGCUAAAUAUUGGCCAGAGACCGAUAGCGCACAAGUAGAGUGAUCGAAAGAUGAAAAGCACUUUGGAAAGAGAGUUAAAAAGUACGUGAAAUUGUUGAAAGGGAAGCGCUUGCAACCAGACUCGCUCGCAGUUGCUCAGCCGGCCUCUUGGCCGGUGUACUCUUCUGUGAUCGGGCCAGCAUCAGUUCGGGCGGCCGGAUAAAGGUGUCGGGAAUGUAGCACCCUUCGGGGUGUGUUAUAGCCCGGCGCGGAAUGCGGCCAGCCUGGACUGAGGAUCUCGCUUCGGCAAGGAUGCUGGCGUAAUGGUUGUAAGCGGCCCGUCUUGAAACACGGACCAAGGAGUCUAACAUCUAUGCGAGUGUUUGGGUGUCAAACCCAUGCGCGUAAUGAAAGUGAACGGAGGUGGGAACCCCUCGCGGGGUGCACCAUCGACCGAUCCUGAUGUCUUCGGAUGGAUUUGAGUAAGAGCAUAGCUGUUGGGACCCGAAAGAUGGUGAACUAUGCCUGAAUAGGGUGAAGCCAGAGGAAACUCUGGUGGAGGCUCGCAGCGGUUCUGACGUGCAAAUCGAUCGUCAAAUUUGGGUAUAGGGGCGAAAG